rnacentral:rRNA from 1 species
GGUGCUAAUACCGCAUAACCAUAGUUACCGCAUGGUAACUAUGUAAAAGGUGGCUAUGCUACCGCUUUUGGAUGGGCCCGCGACGCAUUAGCUAGUUGGUGGGGUAAAGGCUUACCAAGGCAAUGAUGCGUAGCCGAACUGAGAGGUUGAUCGGCCACAUUGGGACUGAGACACGGCCCAAACUCCUACGGGAGGCAGCAGUAGGGAAUCUUCCACAAUGGGCGAAAGCCUGAUGGAGCAACGCCGCGUGGGUGAAGAAGGUCUUCGGAUCGUAAAACCCUGUUGUUAGAGAAGAAAGUGCGUGAGAGUAACUGUUCACGUUUCGACGGUAUCUAACCAGAAAGCCACGGCUAACUACGUGCCAGCAGCCGCGGUAAUACGUAGGUGGCAAGCGUUAUCCGGAUUUAUUGGGCGUAAAGAGAACGCAGGCGGUCUUUUAAGUCUGAUGUGAAAGCCUUCGGCUUAACCGGAGUAGAGCAUUGGAAACUGGGAGACUUGAGUGCAGAAGAGGAGAGUGGAACUCCAUGUGUAGCGGUGAAAUGCGUAGAUAUAUGGAAGAACACCAGUGGCGAAAGCGGCUCUCUGGUCUGUAACUGACGCUGAGGUUCGAAAGCGUGGGUAGCAAACAGGAUUAGAUACCCUGGUAGUCCACGCCGUAAACGA